GACGAACGCUGGCGGCGUGCUUAACACAUGCAAGUCGAACGGAAAGGCCCUGCUUUUGUGGGGUGCUCGAGUGGCGAACGGGUGAGUAACACGUGAGUAACCUGCCCUUGACUUUGGGAUAACUUCAGGAAACUGGGGCUAAUACCGGAUAGGAGCUCCUGCUGCAUGGUGGGGGUUGGAAAGUUUCGGCGGUUGGGGAUGGACUCGCGGCUUAUCAGCUUGUUGGUGGGGUAGUGGCUUACCAAGGCUUUGACGGGUAGCCGGCCUGAGAGGGUGGCCGGCCACAUUGGGACUGAGAUACGGCCCAGGCUCCUACGGGAGGCAGCAGUGGGGAAUAUUGCACAAUGGGCGGAAGCCUGAUGCAGCAACGCCGCGUGCGGGAUGACGGCCUUCGGGUUGUAAACCGCUUUCGCCUGUGACGAAGCGUGAGUGACGGUAAUGGGUAAAGAAGCACCGGCUAACUACGUG
rnacentral:rRNA from 1 species